rnacentral:rRNA from 1 species
GACGUAGGGCGCGAGCGUUGUUCGGAUUUACUGGGCGUAAAGGGCGCGUAGGCGGCCACCGCAAGUCGACUGUGAAAUCUCCGGGCUUAACCCGGAAAGGUCAGCCGAUACUGCGGGGCUAGAGUGCAGAAGGGGCAACUGGAAUUCUCGGUGUAGCGGUGAAAUGCGUAGAUAUCGAGAGGAACACCGGUGGCGAAGGCGGGUCUCUGGGCCGAUACUGACGCUGAGGAGCGAAAGCGUGGGGAGCGAACAGG